GAGGCAGCAGUGAGGAAUAUUGGUCAAUGGGCGAGAGCCUGAACCAGCCAAGUAGCGUGCAGGAUGACGGCCUAUGGGUUGUAAACUGCUUUUAUAAGGGAAUAAGUGAGUCUCGUGAGACUUUUUGCAUGUACCUUAUGAAUAAGGACCGGCUAAUUCCGUGCCAGCAGCCGCGGUAAUACGGAAGGUCCGGGCGUUAUCCGGAUUUAUUGGGUUUAAAGGGAGCGUAGGCCGGAGAUUAAGCGUGUUGUGAAAUGUAGACGCUCAACGUCUGCACUGCAGCGCGAACUGGUUUCCUUGAGUACGCACAAAGUGGGCGGAAUUCGUGGUGUAGCGGUGAAAUGCUUAGAUAUCACGAAGAACUCCGAUUGCGAAGGCAGCUCACUGGAGCGCAACUGACGCUGAAGCUCGAAAGUGCGGGUAUCGAACAGGAUUAGAUACCCUGG
rnacentral:rRNA from 1 species